rnacentral:rRNA from 1 species
UACGAGCUCUCCAAACGUUAUUCGGUAUUACUGGGCUUAAAGAGUUCGUAGGCGGCUCUGUAGGUGAGAUGUGAAAGCCCUCGGCUUAACCGAGGAACUGCGUUUCAAACCACAGGGCUUGAGGGAGAUAGGGGUAAGCGGAACAGAUGGUGGAGCGGUGAAAUGCAUUGAUAUCAUCUGGAACACCGGUGGCGAAGGCGGCUUACUGGGUCUUUUCUGACGCUGAGGAACGAAAGCUAGGGUAGCGAACGGG